UACGUAGGGCGCAAGCGUUGUCCGGAAUUAUUGGGCGUAAAGAGCUCGUAGGCGGCUUGUCACGUCGAUUGUGAAAGCCCGAGGCUUAACCUCGGGUCUGCAGUCGAUACGGGGCUAGCUAGAGUGUGGUAGGGGGAGAUCGGAAUUCCUGGUGUAGCGGUGAAAUGCGCAGAUAUCAGGAGGAACACCGGUGGCGAAGGCGGAUCUCUGGGCCGAUACUGACGCUGAGGAGCGAAAGCGUGGGGGAGCGAACAGG
rnacentral:rRNA from 1 species